rnacentral:tRNA from 1 species
GCCCAGAUGGCGGAAUCGGUAGACGCGCUGGUCUCAAACACCAGUGGGGCAACCCGUGCCGGUUCGACCCCGGCUCUGGGUACCA